GCCCCCGUAGCUCAGUAGGAUAGAGCGGCGGAUUCCUAAUCCGCAGGCCACAGGUUCGAUCCCUGUCGGGGGUA
rnacentral:tRNA from 1 species